GGGUGCGAUCAUACCAGCGUUAAUGCACCGGAUCCCAUCAGAACUCCGCAGUUAAGCGCGCUAGCUUGGGCUAGAGUAGUACUGGGAUGGGUGACCUCCCGGGAAGUCCUAGUGUUGCACCCUC
rnacentral:rRNA from 1 species